rnacentral:rRNA from 1 species
UACGGGGGGGGCAAGCGUUGUUCGGAAUUACUGGGCGUAAAGGGCUCGUAGGCGGCCAACUAAGUCAGACGUGAAAUCCCUCAGCUUAACUGGGGAACUGCGUCUGAUACUGGAUGGCUUGAGUGUGGGAGAGGAAUGCGGAAUUCCAGGUGUAGCGGUGAAAUGCGUAGAUAUCGGGAGGAACACCUGUGGCGAAGGCGGCCAUCUGGACGUUCACUGACGCUGAGACGCGAAAGCGUGGGUAGCAAACAGG